CAAAGAUUUUGAUGCAAUAUUAUAGAGACCCCAGAAGUAAAUGAGAACUCAAAUUCCAUGGAAAAUGAUGUCAUUUUGUUGAGACUUGAACCAAGAAAUUUGAAGAGAUCCUUGUACAAGAGAAGACUAGAGGCUGGGGCAUAAAAGCUCGUAAGUUGCACAUGAGAGCCAUCAUCCGAGACCCUAGAGUAGCCAGGACAUGAAAUAAUCGAGAAUUCAAGCCACAAGAAUGACAUUGAUAUGGAGAUAGAGUUGUUAAAGUGCGCCAGUUUAUCAUUGAU
rnacentral:misc_RNA from 1 species